GACGAACGCUGGCGGCGUGCCUAAUACAUGCAAGUCGAGCGAGCUUGCCUAGAUGAUUGGAAUGCUUGCAUUUCAUGAAACUAGAUACAAGCGAGCGGCGAACGGGUGAGUAACACGUGGGUAACCUGCCCAAGAGACUGGGAUAACACCUGGAAACAGAUGCUAAUACCGGAUAACAACACUAGACGCAUGUCUAGAGUUUGAAAGAUGGUUCUGCUAUCACUCUUGGAUGGACCUGCGGUGCAUUAGCUAGUUGGUAAGGUAACGGCUUACCAAGGCAAUGAUGCAUAGCCGAGUUGAGAGACUGAUCGGCCACAUUGGGACUGAGACACGGCCCAAACUCCUACGGGAGGCAGCAGUAGGGAAUCUUCCACAAUGGACGCAAGUCUGAUGGAGCAACGCCGCGUGAGUGAAGAAGGGUUUCGGCUCGUAAAGCUCUGUUGUUGGUGAAGAAAGAUAGAGGUAGUAACUGGCCUUUAUUCGACGGUAAUCAACUAGAAAGUCACGGCUAACUACGUGCCAGCAGCCGCGGUAAUACGUAGGUGGCAAGCGUUGUC
rnacentral:rRNA from 1 species